rnacentral:rRNA from 1 species
GCUUACGGCCAUACCACCUUAGGCACGCCCGAUCUCGUCUGAUCUCGGAAGCUAAGCAGGGUCGGCCCUGGUUAGUACUUGGAUGGGUGACCGCCUGGGAAUACCUGGUGCUGUAAGCA